UGUAUCCCAACCUCUAUUGCUCUCGCGUAAAGGUUUUGUUUACGCGCGCGACAAGACUACAAAUUCCCCUUUUUUUUGCAAAUCCUGUUUGUAUCGUUUGAGCGCAUGCCCAUAAGUUAUGUCAUCACCCAUCACAGCACGGCCUUUUUAUCUUCAGUAAUGUAAUGUCAUCAUCAAGCCCAAUACCUGUCCGGUCCAGCCCAUUUCAAUCAAGUUUUCCCCUCCUGUCUGUCGGUCCGCGUUGAUUGAUGAGAACUUGAAGCCUGGGUGUCCGUUUGACUUGGCGACUCCGCUGCA
rnacentral:lncRNA from 1 species